UAUUAAAAAUUUCAUUCCCUUUUUUACUAUUAAAAACUAAUGUGACUGACAGAAUAAUCAAACAAUGACGUAUAGCGUGUCAUAUGUAUCUCAUAUUGAUGUACAAUAAUCAAUUUUUAAUAGUAAAAAUAGAUGAAAUUUUUAACA
rfam:Gossypium arboreum cultivar AKA8401 contig_52943_3, whole genome shotgun sequence.